rnacentral:lncRNA from 1 species
AUACUCAAAUUACCCACUGAGUAGUGGAAGAACUGUUUCAGAUGCCUGCCAUCAGACUUUAUUACAGGGGCCUGAGAGUUUCUCCCCUGGGAGCUGAGGUCCAACAGUAAU